rnacentral:rRNA from 1 species
ACAUGCCUACAACAUAGCAUUAAUGCAUCGAAUCCCAUUAGAAACCCGCAGUUAAGCACGCUCGGGCUAGAGUAGUAAUGGGAUGGGUGACUGCCCGAGAAGUCCUAGUAUUUUACAUGCC